CACUGUAAAAAAUUUCUGUAAAUUUACAGGGAAAUUCAACAGCAAAAUGCUGUUUUCGUGUAAUAACAGUAAGUUGCUGUUUUUUACAGUGCAUUGUGGGUAGACUCGCUCACUUCAGGUCUGUUGUCGAGCAACAACAGAAUGUUACUGUUAUUUAACAGUAUUAUAGCAUAUUUUUCGUUGUGCACGCCAUUUUGGAUUGUCUGCAUGAGGUAGGUCUGCAGCUUUAUCGAUGCUUGUGCUAAUUUUAAAUUACAUAUUACUUUUAAAUAUUGCAUUUUAUCCAGUGAAGCUUUUCAAAAAUAAAUCAGAUUUAAUUUCCUAUUUUAAUCAGGCAAAGUGGGUAUUCUACCAUCACAUCAGUUACACUCACAUCAGAUCACAGGUAAGAAUUCACCAAAGUUUUAUCCAACCUGUUUAUUUUACUAAAAUGUGUGUAAAAGAUGAAUGAGGAACGAUCAAAAUCAAUUAUGGGUUUUGUGUCUUUACAUUUUUAAUGUGUGCAUUCUGUCUAUGCAAGUGAAAGAUACGCUUGUGUUAUCUGCAAAUUUGCCUGGUUUUUGUAUUGUCUUAAAAUCCUUUUAAAAUCCUUUGUUACCAAGUAUAUGUACAAAUAACACUAAAAAGAUCUGAUAUUUGUAAAUUCAUUACAUGCUGGUUAGCUGGUUGAAACAUCCUGUUGUAUGUGGCACGCUUUUAUUGGUGGUAAGACACAUUAAGUUUAUAAAAUGGACAUUGUCUCUGUUGCAAACAUGAUUUCAAACUUGUUAAGUCAUUAUGCAUCAAGUACAAGAAAGUGCAGUCAAACUUGAAUUUAUGUUUAUGGUUAGAAACUGAUGUAUAUUUAAAAAGUGUUACAGUUUUGUCCGUAGCAAAACCAAUUGAAUCGCAUCAAAAGAUUACUUCUUGACUCAUCUGAAUUACUUUUAUCCUCCAUGUAGGGUUAUUUUGGUGCUUUGGUGCUAUUUUUGUCCUUAUUCCCUUUUCGUGCAUUGUGUAGACAAACAAAUAUUACAGAUAUUAUUAAGAUGUGUGCCACUCCUGCUGACUUUAAGAAGACUAGUAACUCACCUGUGACACCUUGUUUGAUCCUGUUUGCAUCUUUGGCUAUAUUCUUGGCGAGAACCGGUUAAUGAUAACAUCUUCAACUUGCAAAAAGUGAGAGCAGCAUCCACACUGGAAGUCCUUUAAAGGUAACAAGUUAUUUUUCAAUUUUUUCAUUAAUAUGGUACUUAGUAUGUUGACCUAAAAGGAAUGGUUCCACAUAAAAUAAUGAUUUAAUUAACUUAACUCAAUUUUAACUUGUGACUGUCUUUAAAGGUUGAAUUUGUAACUUUUGAGGAGGCAAUUUUGACGCUUCAUUAAAAUCAUACCGGGAACCAAGGCUGCAAAGGGAAAAGUGACCUCUAAAACAGGAAAACUGCAAAAGAAGACCAUCAACAGUCAGUCUCAAACUAUCAAAUCUUUUAAAAAGACUUAUGGACUUUGAGUGGUACUUCAUUUAAAAUGUAGCUGAUACUUCCCACCAAUACAGUUUUUUUUUUAAAUAUGGUGGGCUGAAGUAAUGGCAGGUGACUUUUCUGAGGAGGCACGAAUGCAUAUCUAGCCAAAACAUUGUCAUGUGUGUGGCUCGUCAUUUCAAGAUGUGCGUUCGGCGCGUCAUGUGAACCUGUGCAUCGCGUGUCAUGUCAAAAUACGUGCCUGCUCCAGACACUUUGAAGGGGAUUAUGAUAAAAGAGAUGCUCACUUUUGCCAUACUAGCUUAAUCUCAUGUGUAAUCAGAGUUUAGUGUUAAAUGAGUGUCUUGCGAGUAUCAUGUAAAUGUCUUUUUUAUUCUUUAUCAUAUUCAAAGCGUUUGCGGCAGGCACGUAUUUUGACAUGAUGUGUGAUCCAUAUAGGUUUACAUUACACUCCAUUCCAGCCACCACUGGGGGGGUGGUGUUUUUAAUACUGGUUUGUAUAUUAUAGACCAUGUUUUCGUAUUUAAAAUUGGGCUGGUGUCUGGUAAAGAAUUAGCAAAUUAAUGUUUUAUUGAAUUCUUUUAAAAAUGUGGUGUUUUUACAGUUGUUAAACUUUUGUGCUUUUUUUAAAUCAAAAUUUUAAACUACAUUUGUAUUUUAAGUAAAGAUAAGGCAUCUCAAUAUUGUUCUUUGUUUGUUAGAUUUUUUGUGUCAUUUUUUGUAUUAUAUGUUAUUGGUGCCUUUUAAUUGCACCACAGUUUAUGCACUGAAUAUUAAAAUAUAUCUGCUUGUAUUUCUGCCUGUUUUAUGGCAUAACAAACAUAGCAUAACAGUCAAUCUGGUGUUGAAUAAAGAAUAAAAAAUUCAUAACCUGUCCUUUUUUGUUUUAUGUUAUCCACUUUGACAAAUAUAAAAUGCAGGGUGUAAUAGCAUUUAAAUUUUAAAAUAAUGGAGGUGUGACUAAUACAGUAUGUACUGUAAAUUAACAGGUAUAUGAUGCUAAAUAACAGUUUUAUGCUGUAGAUAACAAAAACAGUAUCAUGCUAUUAAAUAACAGCUGUAUUCUGUAGGUAACAAAAACAGUACCAUGCUGUUAAAAUAACAGUUGACUGCUGUAGGUAACAAAACAGUAUCAUGCUGUUUUUUCUAAUAACAGUAUCCCGCUGUAAAUUAACAGUGCAAUGCUGGCAACCACAGCUUCCAGCAUAAUACCGUUUUUUUACAGGGAAAUUUUUUACA